CCCGGACAAGCAUUUGACCCUUGAACUCCAAGUGUGACCUUGACCUUGGAGAUAUUGACGUACUUUUUACACACAACACACCGUCCCAUGAUGGUGAUCAAAUGUACCAAUUAUUUUAAAAUCUAAUGAUAAAUGACAUAGUUAUGGUCCAGACAAACUUUCGGUUUAUAACACACUAAGUGACCCGGUGACCUAGUUUUUGAUCCGGCAUGACCCAUAUUCAAACUUGACCUAUACAUCAUCAAGAUACAACUUGUGACCAAGUUUGGUGAAGAUCGGAUGAAAUUUCGGGACAGACCGACAGAUAGACCGACCGACAGACAGACCGACAAAGUGACUCCUAUAUAGCCCCCAUUACCAAUGGU